rnacentral:lncRNA from 1 species
CAAAUAAGAUAGAAACAAUUCAGCAUACUUUUAUUUAUAUGAUAGAAUUUGUCAAACGUGUGUAAUAAUAACACGACCUAAUAUAAUAGUGGAAUAUUAGUAUACAAACAGCUACAGUGGAACACAAUGUUAUCAUCUAUAUGACACAAUUUAUCAGAUAAAUGUAAGGACAAAAUCUAUAACAUUACUGCAGUAAACAAAUACAAUAUACUCACCAUUCCUGUAUUUAUUUUUUGUAUGACACUGCAAGAAAAAAUGUUAUUCUCAGACAACUGAGGUUUCUUUGUAAAACUAGAGGGUGCAAGGAGCCUGUGUCGAUCACCUUGGUAUAUGUGCAUAUUCAACAAAGGACACAACAUUGUAGUGAGAAUGGAAAUCAUGGAAAAAAUCUCUAUUUUGUUGAUCUUGUAUUGCUGACCAUUUAGUCUGUUUAGUUAUUCUCUGUUUCCUUUAGUUUUUGCUCAAAACACAAAAGAUGAUUUAAAAAAUUCUAUAAAGAGUGAAAGUCCACUAACUAUAUCGGCAAAAUUUGGCUUGUUAGUAGAUCUUGUCUUGCUGAUCAUUUUUGAAUUUUAAAGUGUCUAUUUAUCUAUUAGGAUUUUUAUCACAUAAGACAAAACGCAAAACAAAUGGUAAAAAUCGUCAUUACAGGGCAAUGAUGAUGGUGGUCAAAUGUGGCUAAAUUUGGGCCAGUAGUUACAGAGAUAUAAUUUUUGUAAAGGUUAACAGUCGACGACGCACGUACAACGACGACAUUUGAUGACUGACGCCAAAUGAUGAUAAAAGCUGACUUAGCCAUAUCGGCCAGGUGAGCUAAAAAGGGAAAAUACAGAUAUCAAGUAUGCAAUUAGUAUGAACAUACUACACAUACAGCUACAGAACAAGACCCAAUGCCUUAUACAAUGUAGUUGGAGAUAGGAUUCAUAAUAUGGUGAAUUUGCUGGAUGUGACAUUAUUUAUUUUACGAACAAUUAUAGAUCUUCCAUGGUUUUCCAAACGAGAUGGGACCGACAAACAUCCCAAAGCUUGAAAUACCAUUGAUAAUUUGUUUAUUGCUCGGCAAAAAUACACUAAAUAGCAAUAAUCAUUUAUAUUCCCGAUUUCUUAAAACAAGACCGAUCAUAAGAAAUGAAAAUACCUUGUUUCUCGAGAC